GCCUAACACAUGCAAGUCGAACGGAACUUUUUUAAUUGAUUUCUUCGGAAUGAUUUUGAUUAAGUUUAGUGGCGGACGGAUGAGUAACGCGUGAGUAACCUGCCUCUGAGAGGGGAAUAACAUUCUGAAAAGAAUGCUAAUACCGCAUAAUAUAUAUUUAUCGCAUGGUAGAUAUAUCAAAGAUUUAUCGUUCGGAGAUGGACUCGAGUCCGAUUAGUUAGUUGGUGAGGUAACGGCUCACCAAGACCGCGAUCGGUAGCCGGACUGAGAGGUUGAACGGCCACAUUGGGACUGAGACACGGCCCAGACUCCUACGGGAGGCAGCAGUGGGGGAUAUUGCGCAAUGGGGGCAACCCUGACGCAGCAACGCCGCGUGAAGGAUGAAGGUCUUCGGAUUGUAAACUUCUUUUAUUAAGGACGAAUAAAGUGACGGUACUUAAUGAAUAAGCUCCGGCUAACUACGUGCCAGCAGCCGCCGUAAGAC
rnacentral:rRNA from 1 species